CUGAAAUCAAGACAUGGAUGCAGUGACUUUUGAUGAUGUGCAUGUGAACUUCACUUCAGAAGAGUGGAAUUUACUUGAUCCUUCCCAGAAGAAUCUGUAUAAACAUGUGAUGCUGGAGACCUACUGGAACCUCACAGUUAUAGGUUCUUAUUGGGAAGACCAUCAUAUUAAAGAACAAUGUC